AGCAGCGGCAAUAAUUUAAAACUGCAUGGGAGACGGGAAUGCGGCUGACAUUCAAAGGCAGCAGCUACGCUUUAGAAGCAGGUGAAACAAGUAGAUUUGAAAGAAGCGGACAUAAAGCAUAAAAGCGAAUCCUUGAUGUUCACGGACCUGAUAUCUGAGAGGGGUGAAGCAAGGGGGGGGGAAAGGAACUAAUGCCAGUCAUAAUUGAUUUGCAGGAUGGGGUAUGUCAAGGGUAGGGAAUGUCAUGCAGGAGCUGAAAUGAGGCAAGUGAAAUGAGCAAAGCCCUCUUCGCCUACUCUUGACAGCGGAGCGAAGAUGGAUGGCAUAUUCCGCUAUCAGGACAGCUGAAAGAAUUGCUUGUGAACACAUCUUGGGGUCCCCAUAUUGAUUGGCCUUGCUUCCACAGCCCAUGCUAAUUAAACAUUACUUUAACAGGAUGAGACUGACUCUGAUCAGAGCUGGAGGGGGAUGGACAGCAAAUGCUGUGCUGUGUACAUCUCUCUGUCCAGAAGAGGACUCGAGCUUUUGGUGUUUUUCCCUUUGAUACAGCUUUGCAAUCUUUCAAAUCGCAGGCCGGUUUGUUCAAUACCAAAUAUAUUAUAAGCCUGAGGAGCCAAGGUGAAUUUUUGGAGACCAUAUAAUUAACAUUACAGUGGUACCUCGGGUGACAUACGCUUCAGGUUACAUAUGCUUCAGGUUACAGACUCCGCUAACCCAGAAAUAGUGCUUCAGGUUAAGAACUUUGCUUCAGGAUGAGAACAGAAAUCGUGCUCUGGCGGCAUGGCGGCAGCGGGAGGCCCCAUUAGCUAAAGUGGUGCUUCAGGUUAAGAAAAGUUUCAGGUUAAGAAAGGACCUCCAGAAUGAAUUAAGUACUUAACCUGAGGUACCACUGUACUUGCAUAUAAUGUUGAUGAGCAUGAAGAAGAAGAAGAAGAGUUUGGAAUUGAUAUCCCACCUUUCACUCCCUUUAAGGAGUCUCAAAGCGGCUAACAUUCUCCUUCCCCUUCCUCCCCCACAACAAACACUCUGUUUUGAUAAUAUCUCUUGGAGUUUUAUGAAGAAGAACCUACAGGGGAUGGGGGUAGGCCAAGGUUUUGAAAAUGGUAUAAGUGCAAUUUAUUCAGAACAAAAGGCUAAACUAAUUGUAAAUAAUGUGGUGACGGAAGAAUUUAAGAUAGAAAAAGGGACAAGACAAAGCUGCCCAAUUUCCCCAUUGCUUUUCAUAUCGGUCCUGGAGGUUCUGCUGAACAUGAUUAGAAGGGACCGGUUGGUUAAAGGUAUACAGGUCAGAGCCAAACAGUACAAACUGAGAGCAUUUGCAGAUGACUUAGUGUUGACGUUACAGGAGCCAGAAUCUAGUACCAAAAGAAUUUUAGAACUGAUUCAAGAAUUUGGUCAAGUUGCAGGAUUUAAGUUGAAUAAGUUAAAGACCAAGGUCUUAGAGAAAAAUUUAACACCAAUGGAGAGAGAGAGGUUUCAGAAUGAGACAGGUUUAACAGUGGUUAAGAAAGUUAAAUAUUUGGGGAUUAACAUGACAGCAAAAAAAUGGGAAUUUAUUUAAAGACAACUAUGAAAAAUGCUGGGCUGAAGUGAAAAAAGAUUUGGAAAUUUGGUCAAAUUUGAAGCUUUCACUGCUGGGCCGUAUUGCUGCGAUAAAAAUGAAUAUAUUGCCUAGAAUGUUGUUUUUGUUUCAAACACUGCAAAUUGUGGACAAAAUGGACUGUUUCAAGAGGUGGCAGAGAGAUAUUUCUAAAUUUGUCUGGCAGGGCAAGAAGCCUAGAAUAAAAUUUAAAAUAUUAACAGAUGCAAAGGAAAGAGGUGGAUUUGCCCUGCCAGACUUUAAACUUUACUAUGAAUCAGCAGCUUUCUGCUGGUUGAAAGAAUGGUUGCUUCUUGAAAACACUGACAUUUUGGAUUUAGAAGGUUUUAACAAUGUAUUUGGAUGGCAUGCAUAUCUGUGGUAUGAUAAGGUCAAAGCACACAAAGCAUUUAAAAAUCACAUCGUCAGGAAAGCAUUGUUUAAUGUCUGGAUAAGAUACAAGGACUUAUUGGAAAAUAAAACCCCAAGGUGGUUGUCACCAAUGGAAGCAAAAGCUUUGAAAAAGCUCAAUAUGGAGGCCAAAUGGCCGAAAUAUUGGGAAAUUUUGGAACAAGACGGAGAUAGACUGAAAUUGCAGAGUUUUGAGAAAUUAAAAAACAAAGUGCGAGACUGGCUUCAUUAUUAUCAGAUAAUGGAGGCAUAUAAUUUGGACAAGAAAAUUGGCUUCCAGGUGGAAAAAUCAAAAUUAGAAACAGAACUGUUAGAACCCAAAACUAAGAUUUUGUCAAAGAUGUAUAACUUGCUGUUGAAAUGGAAUACUCAGGAUGAAACGGUGAAAUCUGCUAUGAUUAAAUGGGCACAAGAUGUUGGACAUAACAUAAUGAUGGCUGACUGGGAACAGUUAUGGACCACAGGUAUGAAGUUUACGGCAUGUAAUGCCUUAAGAGAGAAUAUUAUGAAAAUGAUAUACAGGUGGUACAUGACCCCAGUCAAGCUUGCAAAAAUCUAUCAUUUGCCCGAUAAUAAAUGUUGGAAAUGUAAAGAAACUGAAGGUACAUUCUUUCACCUUUGGUGGACAUGCCCAAGGAUUAAGGCUUUCUGGGAAAUGAUAUAUAAUGAAUUGAAAAAGAUAUUUAAAUAUACCUUAUUGAAGAAACCAGAGGCCUUUCUCCUAGGCAUAGUUGGCCAAUUGGUGCCAAAGAAGGAUAGAACCUUUUUUAUGUAUGCCACAACAGCAGCAAGAAUACUCAUUGCAAAGUACUGGAAGACACAAGAUUUACCCACUCUGGAAGAAUGGCAGAUGAAGCUGAUGGACUAUAUGGAACUGGCAGAAAUGACUGGCAGAAUCCGAGACCAGGGAGAAGAGUCGGUGGAAGAAGAUUGGAAGAAGUUCAAAGAUUAUCUACAGAAAUACUGUAAAAUUAAUGAAUGUUAGAACGAUGUUGGAUAGAAAUUAAGUGGUUUCUAACUGUAAUGCUUCAAGGGAAUAUGAAAAAGGGGUUAUUAAGAGGUAAAAAUCUAACGUUAUUAUUUUAAGACCAAAGAUUAGGAUAAACAAAGAGGGUAAGGAUUUGCUGAACCAACAAACUGAACUGGAAUACAAAAAAGGGAGGUAUGAGGAGGUCCGGGAAACAAGCUAAAGAAAAAUAAGCAAUGGAAAAUCUGAGUGUUUUUAAUCAUUUUUAUUUUGUAUUUUUUUUCUUUUUCAUUUUUUAUUGUAAUAUUUAAAAAAAUCCUAAUAAAUAUCUUAUAAAAAAACAACAACAAACACUCUGUGAGGUGAGUGGGGCUGAGAGACUUCAAAGAAGUGUGACUGGCCCAAGGUCACCCAGCAGCUGCAUGUGGAGGAGCGGAGAAUCGAACCCGGUUCCCCAGAUUACGAGUCUACCGCUCUUAACCACUACACCACACUGGCUCUCAUGGAGGAUGACCACUUAGAGUUGUUGAGUAUGUUGUACGUAUUCAUUCUAGCAGUCUGAAUUUGUGAAUCUCGUUGUGUGAGAGUUUUCUCUUGAAAAUUCUUGAUAUAUGGACAGAAAUAGUGAGGGCUGAAUUAGUGCUAUUUCAGUUCCUUCAGAGUGUUGCCGUUUUCAGGUUUUUGAUGAUAAACGUCAGGAUCUUUGUGGUGGGAGAUUCCCAGGAUCUGAAUACAGUCCCCAGGUCAACUAUGAGAUGAAAGUGAAGAAAAAGACUUUGGGAACAAAAAGAGCUGACAGCAAUGUUGCUAUGAUCCCAACCCUAGACAAGGUCUAUUCCUCUAUUGUUCUUUUCCUCCUGAAUUCCAAUUUAACUGAGGGAAUGUUUUUUGUUUUUUGUUUUACUAUUAUUAUUUUAAUUAAUUUUGUUUUAAAAAGCAGCAAGCAAAUUAAACAGAGCUAUCUUAGAGAAAAGAACAGGGUUACAAAAAUAGACUUCUACCAAACCACAGGGCAUAUUCUGAUAAACAGUAAAAGCAUCUCCAUUUGCCUGCUGCAUUGCUUGCUUGUUGAAAAUCCUCUCUUUUUAUGAAUUUCUUCAUAAGCUGAUCCCAGCUUAUUCCAGCCUCCCUCAACUUGGUGCCCUCCAGGUCUUGCUAGGGUUGAUAGGAGUAGUGGGCACCAUUUGGAGAAGGAUGCUUCAUCCAUUUUUCUAUUAGAAAAAUUAAUUGAUUAAAAAAAUCAAUUCAUGAACCAAUAGAUGCCCAGCAUUUUCCUCCCAAUACCUUGCCCAGACACUAUUCCAGAUAUCAAGACAUUCAUGACCAAGGGUUCCAAAGUGCUUGGUAAAUCUUUCCCAGAUACACCUAGCAGCAUUCUUGGUUACAAAAUACUGAAGUCUGGAAUCCCAGCCCCAUAUGUCUGCUUCUAACAGUACAUUUUCUUUAUAUGCAAGUAGAAUCAGGAAGUAUGGGGACCUAAAAUGCAGAUAUAGGAUUCAAAUGGAAGCUUCCUCCAUUUUAUUUGCAAACCGAUCACUCAGCGUUCAACCAGGCAACCAACUUCUUCAAAGAGAAGAGACAGAAAGGAACAGGAAACUGCCUUGAUAGUGUAUUUCCAAUUAGCAAAGCUGAGUGGAAAAGUCAGGGGAACCUUAAAUCAAAAAGUAUACAGAGAAUGGAAAAUAUUUAAGAAAUAUAUAAGACUAUAUUGUAAAAAUGAGACCAUCCUAUCAUAAUUGAAUGAUAUUUAUGUAUAAUAAAUAAAUAGAAUAAACAUCUUAGCGGUAUAUAUGAAAAAAGAAAUAAGCUGCGUGAUAAAAUCAAGACAAUAGAAAAGGCAUAAUGAGAAGGAUUGGAAGCUUUUCACAGAAGACUUUAUUGGAUAAGAUAUGAUGUUGUAUAAAUAUCUGGUAUUUUAAAUUGUUAUUUUUUUCUUCUUGUUACUUUUAAACUUUUUGUAUUUUUGGAUGUGCAGAAUUUUUCUCUUUUCUUUUUUCUUCUUUUCUUUUCUGUGCUUAACUUUGUAGUAUUUACCUUUAUUGUAAGAUUGUAUUUUAAACCAAUAAAGAUGUAUUUUUUUAAAAAAAGGAAACUGCCCUUGCUUCCUCUCUCUCCAAAGACCUAGUUGACCUUUGACCUAGUUGAGCCUUCUCUAGAAAAUAACAGCUCUGUGGUCCUUAACUCCUUCAUUUACCAACUCUCAUAGACCUGCAUUGUUCGGUUUGACUGCAAAAUCUCCCACGUUGAUAGUGUUUCAAAUACAGUGCAUUCAAACAUAGCAUUUUAUGCAUAUUAUAUCUUUAGCAGACCCACCCAAAACCUUUGAGCAUCUGUGAAUCCUGUUGUUGUUGUUUAGUCGUUUAGUCGUGUCCGACUCUUCGUGACCCCAUGGACCAGAGCACACCAGGCACUCCUGUCUUCCACUGCCUCCCGCAGUUUGGUCAAACUCAUGCUGGUAGCUUCGAGAACACUGUCCAACCAUCUCGUCCUCUGUCGUCCCCUUCUCCUUGUGCCCUCCAUCUUUCCCAACAUCAGGGUCUUUUCCAGGGAGUUUCUCUUCUUAUGAGGUGGUCAAAGUAUUGGAGCCUCAGCUUCAGGAUCUGUCCUUCCAGUGAGCACUCAGGGCUGAUUUCCUUCAGAAUGGAUAGGUUUGAUCUUCUUGCAGUCCAUGGAACUCUCAAGAGUCUCCUCCAGCAACAUAAUUCAAAAGCAUCAAUUAUUCAGCGAUCAGCCUUCUUUAUGGUCCAGCUCUCACUUCCAUACAUCACUACUGGGAAAACCAUAGCUUUGACAAAGACAAAGACAUCAGGUGAAUCCUGUUAGUCUCAUACAAAGCCCUCUUACAUGGAUAGGAAUCGCGGGAGCCUUGGAUUUCUUCAAAAGGAGAUUUGAAAAAUUCACACUUGUGAAUAAGUCUAUCAAUGGUUAUUAGCCCUGGCAGAUGGAUGUAACUGGGUUCACAGGCAUCAUUCCUUGAGAGAUGGGGAAGAAAACUCCAGGUGCUUAGAGAUGUUGUGACAACAUCCCUCAGUAAAGAUGGGAGUGAUGUGAUGUGACAGGGUUUUGAGAUGGUUUCAAAACUUCUGACUCUUCCUGUCAGAACACUUAAGAGGUCUGUUAUUAUCUCUCUGCGGUGAUGUUUCUUAAUAACCAGCAGCAAGGCAUUGCAAUUAUGUGGAAGAAGAGCCUGUGACCACAUGGAUGAGGCAUUUUGGGAACAAACCGAGAACAUUUAUUUAUACUUGAUGAGGUUCAUAGCUUAACAGGUACUCCAAUAAGGCAGAACACUUUGUUUUGUUUUAAAAAAAUAAUUUUUUAUUAAAGAUUUCUUAGUUUACAAAAAUACGUGCAUUGUCUCUUCUUUCAAGUUGUGUUUCCUACAGAUCAGUUUCAUUUGUUGUGAGACAUUAGUUUUGCAUACAGUGUGUUAGGUUAGGAAGAAAAGAGGAAGGGGAAAUGGUGAGUGGUACCUCAGGUUAAGUACUUAAUUCGUUCUUGAGGUCUGUUCUUAACCUGAAACUGUUCUUAACCUGAGCACCACUUUAGCUAAUGGGGCCUCCUGCUGCCGCUGCGCCGCCGCCACACAAUUUCUGUUCUCAUCCUAAAGCAAAGUUCUUAACCCGAGGUAAAAUUUCUGGGUUAGCGGAGUCUGUAACCUGAAGCGUAUGUAACCUGAAGCAUAUGUAACCUGAGGUACCACUGUAUUCUACUUAUUGUAUGUGUGGGGUUUUGUGUCAGUGUUACUUGUGUGGGUUCUCUUACUAUUCGCUUGUUGUAUUUCCUUGGUUGUGAGAGAGGCUGGGGUGGGCCUAGGGUGUGGCUGCUUGUCUUUGGUUGGUUGUAGUGAGAUUUGUUUUUGUGUGUGAGUGGGGUGUGUGUGUUUGUUUCAGUCAGGUUAGCCAGAUUGAUUCGUAUGCUGUUGGUGGAUUAUUCUUGUUGUCGUGUUGGGCUGUGUACAGUGUACCUUGGGUUACAGACUCUUCAGGUUACAGAUGCUUCGGGUUACAAACUCCGCUAACCAGGAAGUAGUUGUUCCAGGUUGAGAACUUUGCUCCAGGAUGAGAAUGGAAAUCAUGCGCUGGUGUCGCGGCAGCAGUGGGAGGCCCCGUUAGCAAAAGCACGCCUCAGGUUAAGAAUGGUUUCAGGUUAAGAAGGGACCUCCGGAACGAAUUAAAUUCUUAACCCGAGGUACCACUGUAUGUGAUAAAGGGGAACUAUACUGGGGUGAAGGCGUCUUCUUCUAUUUGUCCCCAUGUCAGUUUCAGUUUAUUAGUUAGUUUUUCUAAUAGGGCUGUUUCUCAUACUAUUUGAUACCAUUGGUCCAUGCCAGGCUUCCUCAACCUCGGCCCUCCAGAUGUUUUUGGCCUACAACUCCCAUGAUCCCUAGCUACCAGGACCAGUGGUCAGGGAUGAUGGGAACUGUAAUCUCAAAACAUCUGGAGGGCUGAGGUUGAGGAAGCCUGGUCCAUGCUUACUCCUGACAGGUCUCUCCAAUGUCUGGCUGUGAUUCUUUUAGAUAAUAAUCCCCACUCACAUCAAAAAGAGCUCAUAACCCACCUACUCAUGGCAGAACACUUUGUUAUGAACACACACUCUUCACAAAAAUAAGCCAAAAACUUUAUUGAAAUUCUCAUUUUAAACCUGUCUUUAAAUAGACUGAUUCCUUCUAGAAUGGCUAUUGGUCCUACACUUUCAGCGCCUUCUAGAAUUUUUACUUUCCCCUAAGAAAAACAAUCUGGGUUACCCUGCCUAGCUAGACCAUAAUUCAGCUCUAACCAGGCUCUAAAUGGAUCUCUAACUAGGCACUGUCCAUGCCCUAACUAACACUGACAGACAAGCCCUAUCUGACAGUUAGACUGUCUAAUUCUAACAUUCAACUCUCCACUCUCUCUCCUGAUUGGAAGACACUCCGCCCAGCUCUGAUUGGUUUCUGGGUCACCUGGAGGCUAACCCAUGAUUUGUCCAUCACAGAUGCACUUUAUUGUAGGCCCAAUGCAUUUUUCGAAAAAACCUUCUUUUCAAGGGAAUGUGUUUAGAAACAACCCGCACUUUCAAGGUAUAAUGCAGUAAUUCUUGUUCAUCUGGGGGUCAAAUCAAAUGAGAUGUUAAAUGCAUUUUAAAAAAAAAAACUUUUUAAAAACCCAUAAAUUGCAGCCACUAUUGGGAGGAAAACUCAUAUUAUUCCUAGUUCAAUUAGGAACUACAGAGGAGCAAUUUUCAUCUGGGGGAGGAAAAGGUUAAACCCUCCCUCCCUGUCUGCUGUGAUCUCCCUCUAGACACAAAGUGGCUGCUGUUUGCACUUCUAAAAAACACAUGCACAAGGAUCACAGGGGAUAAUUCACUCAACACAUUUCUUUCAGAUCACUGUAAUUGCCCUUGUUCAUCAGUUUUAUAUUACAUUUACACCCCAUCUUUUCUGCAAGGAGCCCAGUUCGUUUCUGAGCACAAUUCAAAGUGUUGGUGCUGACCUUUAAAGCCCUAAGCUGCCUCGGUCCAGUAUACCUGAAGGAGCUUCUCCACCCCCAUCGUUCAGCCCGGACACUGAGAUCCAGUGCCAAGGGUCUUCUGGCAGUUCCCUCGCUGCAAGAAGUGAGGUUACAGGGAACCAGGCAGAGGGCCUUCUUGGUAGUGGCUCCUGCCCUGUGGAAUGCCCUCCCAGCAGUUGUCAAGGCAAUAAACAACUAUUAUACUUUUAAAAGACAACUGAAGGCGGCCCUGUUUAGGGAAGCUUUUAAUGUCUGUUGCUGUAUUGUUUUUAAUAUUCGGUUGGAAGCCACCCAGAGUGGCUGGGGAAACCCAGCCAGAUGGGCAGGGUAUAAAUAAUAAAUGAUUAAAUAUUCUUAUUAUGGUGGCAUACACACUUCUCCUCUCUAUUUUAUCCUCACAGGAAUCCUGAAGGUUUGGCUGAGAAAUAGUGACUGGCCCAAGGUAACCUGGUAGGCUUCAAGACUGUCGGACUUGCUUUCGACCAAGCUACUUCUCCGGUCGAGUCCUCCGACGGUGAUUAACGACCUGAGCCUUUGAUGAGGCUCCAGGCACGUUCCCUCAUUACACAGAGUAUACAGCAGCAGCUGAAGACGAAAAACGUAUGAGCUACAUUGCUACAUUUUAUUUCUAACUAUGCAGGACAGAAAAGAAAAUACAUCUGCUCUCUGUGAAAGCAGAGAACCAACUGGAACAAAGAAAACAGGAAACCAGUAAUAUCAACAUCCAUCUCCCAUGAGACUUCCAACAGUCUGGAAUGUAAACAGAGUCUUGUGACUCCAAGCACUGCACAGUGGCAAUAAACAGAAACCUAACAAAGACCAACCCUGGUCUCCCGAUUCCUAGCCCAGUACAGUGGUACCUCGGGUUAUGAACUUAAUUCGUUCCGGAAGUCUGUUCUUAACCCGAAGCAUUCUUAAACCGAGGCAUGCAUUCCUUACAUAGGCCUCCCGCGGCCCUGGAAGCGGAUUGUGUUCGUAUCCUGGGGCAAAGUUCGCAACCCAGGACACCUACUUCCAGGUUUGUGGAGUUCAUAAACCGAAGCGUUCGUAAGCAGGACUGUUCGCAACCCGAGGUACCACUGUACUCUAACAGCUUUAGCACACUGGAGAAUCCCAUUCUUGGCUCACUGCACUCCCUGGGCUUACCAACUUUGCUAUUGCCUAUAUGCCAUAAACUUUGAAAAGAGUUUCUGGAUUUUCUCACAUGCUGUAAUUUGUUCCCCC
rnacentral:lncRNA from 1 species